AGCAGCCGCGGUAAUUCCAGCUCCAAUAGCGUAUAUUAAAGUUGUUGCAGUUAAAAGCUCGUAGUUGAAUUUCGGGACCAAUUUGUUGGUCGUGCCUCGGUACGUACUGGUAUUAUUGGUUUCUCCUUUCUGAAGAACCUCGAUGCCAUUAAUUUGGUGUCGUGGGGAAUCAGGACUGUUACUUUGAAAAAUUGAGUGUUUAAAGCAAGCAUACGCUUGAAUACAUUAGCAUGGAAUAAUGAAAUAGGACGUUUGAUUCUAUUUUGUUGGUUUCUAGGAUCGACGUAAUGAUUAAUAGGGAUAGUUGGGGGCAUUAGUAUUCAAUUGUCAGAGGUGAAAUUCUUGGAUUUAUUGAAGACUAACUACUGCGAAAGCAUUUGCCAAGGAUGUUUUCAUUAAUCAAGA
rnacentral:misc_RNA from 1 species